GCUAAAUGUAGUGCCGCUUUGUCUUUUUCAAGUUUUCUCUGUGGAGUAAGCUUUAAUCUUGGUGGCAGAAAUAG
rfam:Arabidopsis thaliana chromosome 1, complete sequence.